rnacentral:rRNA from 1 species
AUGCGGCUGGAUGCGCUCCGGCUGGCCUACGACUGGGCCCUCAAGGGCGAGGACACGGCUCUCCACCGCGACGUCUCCGCCAAGAUCGCCGGCCGCCUCGGCCCCCGCUACGCCGCCGACCAGCCCUGGUCCGACGCCGUCGAGCGCCGCGCCCUGCUGCGCAAGGAUAAGCUUGACAGCGAGCUCAACGUCUACAGGUCAUUCUACCCGCAGACCAAUCUGAUCAAAGAGAGUAUCCGGUUGGGCUACAAUGACCUUGGUGAUUUCCACUAUGCUCAAGGCCACCUUUCAGACGCCUUCAAGAGCUAUAUCAGGACCCGCGAUUACUGCACUACCUCGAAGCAUGUUGUUCAGAUGUGCUUGAAUGUCAUACUUGUUAGCAUUGAGCUGGGGCAGUUUAUGCACGUCUCAAAUUAUGUCAUCAAGGCGGAGCAGACCCCAGACGACAUGGAUCCUAUUACUGCCGCCAAGUUGCGAGCUGCUGCUGGAUUAGCCUACAUGGAAACAAACAAGUACAAACUUGCUGCCCGGAAGUUUAUAGAAACAGGAUCAGAGCUGAGGAGCAACUAUUCUGAAGUUAUAGCUCCACAAGAUGUUGCUGUCUAUGGUGCACUAUGCGCGCUUGCUUCUUUUGAUCGCUCAGAGCUGAAGAGCAAAGUUAUUGACAACUACAAUUUUCGCAAUUUUUUGGAGUUGGUGCCUGAAGUAAGGGAGCUGGUAAAUGAUUUUUAUGCAAGCCGCUAUGGGUCAUGUCUGGGAUAUCUUGAGAAGCUGAAGUCAAACCUGCUGCUGGAUAUGCAUCUGCAUGGGCAUAUAGAAACUCUGUACAAGGACAUUCGACACAAAGCCAUCAUACGGUACACUUUCCCAUUCAUAUCUGUUGAUCUCAACUUGAUGGCUGUUGCCUUCCAGACCUCCGUGUCCCUGCUAGAGAAAGAGCUGGCAGCGCUUAUCACUGAUAACAAAAUACAGGCUCGUAUCGACUCGCACAACAAGAUUCUGUACGCAAGUCACGCCGACCAAAGGAACGCAACUUUCCAGCGUGCACUGCAGACUGGCAAUGAGUUUGAGAGGGAUGUCAAGUCCAUGCUUCUGAGGGCGAACCUUCUCAAGCACGAUUUCAGCCAGAAGGCAGCAGAAAGGAAGGUGUGA